rnacentral:rRNA from 1 species
GACGAACGCUGGCGGCGUGCCUAAUACAUGCAAGUAGAACGCUGAAGGAGGAGCUUGCUCUUCUGGACGAGUUGCGAACGGGUGAGUAACGCGUAGGUAACCUGCCUGGUAGCGGGGGAUAACUAUUGGAAACGAUAGCUAAUACCGCAUAACAGUAGAUGUUGCAUGACAUUUACUUAAAAGGUGCAAUUGCAUCACUACCAGAUGGACCUGCGUUGUAUUAGCUAGUUGGUGGGGUAACGGCUCACCAAGGCGACGAUACAUAGCCGACCUGAGAGGGUGAUCGGCCACACUGGGACUGAGACACGGCCCAGACUCCUACGGGAGGCAGCAGUAGGGAAUCUUCGGCAAUGGACGGAAGUCUGACCGAGCAACGCCGCGUGAGUGAAGAAGGUUUUCGGAUCGUAAAGCUCUGUUGUAAGAGAAGAACGAGUGUGAGAGUGGAAAGUUCACACUGUGACGGUAUCUUACCAGAAAGGGACGGCUAACUACGUG